CAGCUGGCACCUUGAUCUUGGACAUCCAGCCUCCAGAACUGUGUUGAAUCUUCUCCAUUUCUCAAGUUCCAUCAGAGUUCCUGAUUGAUUCCUCUGUAGAGCCUUGUCUGCCACCCUAGAAAGCAAAAACAAAAAAGUUACCAUUUGGAGGUAGAAAUGGUUCACCACAAGACACCCAGAUGGCAAUAGGAUUUCUGAGGAUGAGGGAGCUGCAUCUUGCUUUUGUUUCUCAGAGUCUCUCUGGAGAAAGGAUUCAUCUAGAGCCCAUAAAACCAAAUCACGCAAGAAAACUUAAUGGAAGGAGGAAGAUCAUGAGGAAAUUAGAACUUUUAUAAAAGAAAAGCAAAAGUCCAAAGAUAGUUUUUGACAUUCAAACAGCAUACUGCCAUCGAACGUGGAAGUCAGGAUGACACAGUCAUGAUCUAUGGUUUCUCCAAAAGCCUGUAGCUCCCACUUACUGUAUCAAGAGUUUAACUUCAGGAUUGACCUGGAGAAAAACCAUCACUCCUGGGCCAGAGGGGAUCUGGGGCACAAGACAGAGAAAGCCAGAAAACUAGCACAGCAUGUCUUGAUUCUCUCUACAGGCUUCACUUUGGGUAUCUUAGUUAAACUGGGGAAACAGUGAGGACACUGCCCAUUGUCCCCUUUUGAGCUACCCUUGCUACUCCAAUCUGAGGCACAGCCAGCCACGUGAACUGGGAUCUGGUUUCUGGGAGGUGCAGCUAAGACCCAGGAGUUGCUGAGAAUCUUUUUGGGGAGCUUUCCAAAAGUGGAUGCCAAGCAGGGGUGAGGUGGCUCUGUAGCAAGGACUGCAGAGGUGAUGAGAUGACCACUCAGUCAUAGUCAGGCUCCAGAGGGCCACAGGAAGCAGAGAGAAGGCUGAAUCAGGGAGGUAGCACACCCACCCAGAGUAUCGUCUGAACCAACAGAAGGAACCAUAAGUCACUCCAGUCAUCGACUUCAGACAGUAGAGCCCAGGAAGCAAGAAGAUCUGCAACCCAAGUGCUUUUUUUCUAUCUUAGAGUGGAACUUAACGUGAGAUUCUGGAGAUAGAGAAAUCUGAAAGCUCUCCCUAAAGGGACUAAUUAAAUUAAUGGAUGGAACAAAAUGUAAACAUGAUUAGAGAAUGCAUAAGGCUCACAAAGAAGGUCAGAUCUGUUAAUGACAAAAUAAAAAGAUGAUGUUCUCUUUGCA